AUUGAACGCUGGCGGCAUGCCUUACACAUGCAAGUCGAACGGCAGCGCGGGGGCAACCCUGGCGGCGAGUGGCGAACGGGUGAGUAAUAUAUCGGAACGUACCCAAGAGUGGGGGAUAACGUAGCGAAAGUUACGCUAAUACCGCAUACGAUCUAAGGAUGAAAGCAGGGGACCGCAAGGCCUUGUGCUCCUGGAGCGGCCGAUAUCUGAUUAGCUAGUUGGUGGGGUAAAGCCUACCAAGGCAUCGAUCAGUAGCUGGUCUGAGAGGACGACCAGCCACACUGGGACUGAGACACGGCCCAGCCUCCUACGGGAGGCAGCAGUGGGGAAUUUUGGACAAUGGGGGGCAACCCUGAUCCAGCAAUGCCGCGUGAGUGAAGAAGGCC
rnacentral:rRNA from 1 species